rnacentral:rRNA from 1 species
UUUACACACGCAAGUCGAACGGUAACAGGUCUUCGGAUGCUGACGAGUGGCGAACGGGUGAGUAAUACAUCGGAACGUGCCUAGUAGUGGGGGAUAACUACUCGAAAGAGUAGCUAAUACCGCAUGAGAUCUACGGAUGAAAGCAGGGGACCUUCGGGCCUUGUGCUACUAGAGCGGCUGAUGGCAGAUUAGGUAGUUGGUGGGGUAAAGGCUUACCAAGCCUGCGAUCUGUAGCUGGUCUGAGAGGACGACCAGCCACACUGGGACUGAGACACGGCCCAGACUCCUACGGGAGGCAGCAGUGGGGAAUUUUGGACAAUGGGCGAAAGCCUGAUCCAGCAAUGCCGCGUGCAGGAUGAAGGCCCUCGGGUUGUAAACUGCUUUUGUACGGAACGAAAAGCCUGGGGCUAAUACCCCCGGGUCAUGACGGUACCGUAAGAAUAAGCACCGGCUAACUACGUGCCAGCAGCCGCGGUAAUACGUAGGGUGCAAGCGUUAAUCGGAAUUACUGGGCGUAAAGCGUGCGCAGGCGGUUUUGUAAGACAGUGGUGAAAUCCCCGGGCUCAACCUGGGAACUGCCAUUGUGACUGCAAGGCUAGAGUGCGGCAGAGGGGGAUGGAAUUCCGCGUGUAGCAGUGAAAUGCGUAGAUAUGCGGAGGAACACCGAUGGCGAAGGCAAUCCCCUG